UCUUUUGUCAUAGCUACUAUCUACUGAUCUCUGGGCCACCAGACAGACUUUCUUAAAGAAAUUUCAGAUUUACUGUCAAGGCUAGUAGUCACUGUACUGUAGAUAAAGCUCUUAUCGUUGGUGACUUUAAUAUCCACAUUGAUAACACAAAGGAUGCAUUAGGACUAUGGAUGUCCAGAUCAGAUAUACUGGCUGAUCCAGGGUUUUUGGCUGGAUUGUGUAACAAGGUAGCAAGAAAGAAGGGCGGGGAAAUUUGAAAGCGAUCUCUAAUCCCAUUACAGAUUGAUAAUAAGCCGCACUUAUUUAAAGGACAGGCGAAGCCGCAGGGCAGCUGGGGUCCUGUUAGCAUUUGCCUGUUGCUCAGCUUGUAGCCGUGUGGGAUCCCCGUGUAUCUUUCUAUGUAUGAGACGAAUGUGAUAGUUUGAAGCUCAGGACCAUCGUGUAUAUGAUUUUGCUCUGCUCAGAAUGUGGGUGUUUGAUGUUCUGGACCGUCAUGUGUCUGGUUGGUUUCGCCCUGUUAAGGUAUGUUUAUUUUUUAGUUUUGUUUAUUUGAAUGUGACUAGCACUCAUGAAAUUAUCUAUUUUGUUAUAGGUUGUUGGAUGAUAGUGACUAGUCGCUGUUCUCUUUAGUUUUUUUUUUGUUAUUUACUUUACUUAUAAAACUGACUGCUCCCAGUUAUGAAUGUUUGUUAAUUCCCUAGCCAGCUUGUGUUUUGUUUUCUUUUGAAUCAUUUAGGUUGAGUUAUUUGGUUUGAUUGCUGGCUAGGGGAUUUUAUUAUUUU